CGAGGUGGGCAAGCGUUGUUCGGAAUUAUUGGGCGUAAAGGGCGCGUAGGCGGUGCGGUAAGUCACCUGUGAAACCUCUGGGCUCAACUCAGAGCCUGUAGGCGAAACUGCCGUGCUGGAGUGUGGGAGAGGUGCGUGGAAUUUCCGGUGUAGCGGUGAAAUGCGUAGAUAUCGGGAGGAACACCUGUGGCGAAAGCGGCGUACUGGACUACAACUGACGCUGAGGCGCGAAAGCUAGGGGAGCAAACAGGAUUAGAUAUCCUGGUAGUCCUAGCCUUAAACGAUGGAUGCUUGGUGUGUCGGGUACCGUAAUCCCGUCGUGCCGUAGCUAACGCGUUAAGCAUCCUCGCCUGGGGAGUACGGUCGCAAGGCUG
rnacentral:rRNA from 1 species